AGCUUCUGCUGAGGGCCUGUUUUCUAAGCCUCACACUAGAGACUUGUUCAUUACUCUUUUGUCUAAGGGAAAGUCCCUGGACCUAGGUCAGAGAGUGCCAUGUGGCUAUACACGUUGACAAUCCCAUUUUCCAUAUGAAGUCUCCAAGAAGCUAAUAGGCAUAGCAGGAGCAGUAUGGUGAAGGGAUAUCACCCUCAGCUCUUCUAGUUACAUAGGCAGUACACCUUCCUGCAUGCACCAACCACAAAGGGCUUAUUCUCAGUGUGGC
ensembl:ribozyme RNase_MRP RNase MRP